rnacentral:rRNA from 1 species
GUAGGGAAUAUUGGUUAAUGGGCGAAAGCCUGAACCAGCAACGCCGCGUGCACGAUGACGGCCUUCGGGUUGUAAAGUGCUUUUUGGAGGGAAGAGGAAGGACGGUACCUCCAGAAUAAGUCUCGGCUAACUACGUGCCAGCAGCCGCGGUAACACGUAGGAGACAAGCGUUAUUCGGAUUUACUGGGCGUAAAGCGCGUGCAGGCGGUCUGACAAGUUGGAUGUGAAAGCUCCUGGCUUAACUGGGAGAGGUCGUUCAAAACUAUCAGACUAGAGAGUGGUAGAGGAAGGCGGAAUUCCGGGUGUAGUGGUGAAAUGCGUAGAUAUCCGGAGGAACACCAGUGGCGAAAGCGGCCUUCUGGACCAAUUCUGACGCUCAGACGCGAAAGCUAGGGUAGCGAACGGGAUUAGAAACCCGGGUAGUCC